CUCUUGUCUUUGGGAAAGGAACUCAACUGACUGUGGAGCCAAGCAGUCCAAAACAUUCUGUCCCACAAGUCAUUGUGAUAAAAUCAAAGAAACUGGAAGAAGGAGGCAGCACUGGGAAAGCAGCUUGUUUGGCAAGGAAUUUGAGUACAAAGAACAUCAGCUUGGAGAUGUCCUCUGAUGAGGUCGUGUAUGAACAGAGCACACCCAUUCUGGCAUCAGAGGGGCUGUACAGUGCUAUGAAGGUGGUCAGUGUGACAAAAGACACAGAGGUGACCUGCAAGGCCCAUUUGGACAUUGGCACCAUUACAGCAUUGUCAGAAAAGGAGGCUGAAGAACCAGUAACGAGGACCAGUAACAGGGUUUGCAACGGCACAGACACCUCUGCCCAAGGUACCACAGUGCAGAGAGUGAACAUGCUGUCUGUGGCUGUGCUGGGUUUGAGAGUCCUGCUGGCAAAAAGCAUUGCCUUCAAUACACUCAUGAGUAUCAAGUUGGUUCUUUUCUGAGACAUGUGGAGUCAAGGCAAGAGGGACCUGAAGAACUGCAGGAAAGAACGUGAACCAGCAGCACAACGGGCUGGACAAGCAGUGUCACAUCUGCUGACAGUGAGCACCCAGAACACAACACAGCCCCUUCCCCUUUAGACAUUUGAUGCUGUUCAAUCCUGCCCAGCCAGUUCAUUUAGAUUUAAGAGUUGUAACUGCUUUUGCUAUUUCUUUUUCUCUGUGCACUGAGGAGAGUGCAUUUCUCCUCAUCCUCCUGCUGAGUAGAUCUCUCCACUGUUCUGGCAUUUACACAGGAAUGUCCAACAGGCCUCAAUAGUUGUAGAAAAACCCAAUCCUCACUAUUGAUACAUAUAGAUAUAGAGAGAGCUAUAUAACAUUUUAAAUCAGCUUUCACAGGCAUGUUGUGUUACCGUCUGUAGAACUGGUGUGUUACUGCAGAGACAAUUCAGGCACAAUAGUUGCCAUUUAUAGCUUUGGUUUUUAGACAGCUUUAUUAACAAUAAUUUCCUAUCAUGGCUGAGAAGUGAUCCAAUUCAAACAGAUAAUGUUCAACUAUAGAAGCAUUUCUUUCUUAAACCUGUAUUUCUUCUGCAAAAUGUAUCCCACAUGCAUUUUAGUUUCCUGUAAUAGUGAUGAAAAUAAAAUUUUCCUUGACCAAAA